ACCUCCAGUCACCAUCACAACAUUCCCAACGUCAAACUUGAUGAAAUCAACAAUCUUAUUGGAUUCCAAGUCCAGCUUUAUAGUAUCGUUGGCCUUGAUGAGAGGAUCAGGAUAGCGGAUUGUUCUUCCAUCGUAAGUGUUCAGGUAUGGGAUCCCCUUCUGACCAAACUGCACAGAGCGGACCUUGCAAAGCUUAAACUGCAAAUCGGAAGAACAUCAUUCAAAUAAGAGCAGUAUACCACCAGUAAACUAUACAAGGUCAGAAAAUGACUCUAACAAAGACAUUCGUCACAAAUGCAAAAGUUAAAAUAUUAAUCUACCUUUGACUCCUCGUCCCUGAGCGAGUGAAGACGGAAUCGGCCCUUAGUGUCAUAAAGGAGACGGAAGUUCUCAUUAGUCUUCGGAAUUGAAACGACA
rnacentral:lncRNA from 1 species